AAAGAACAGAAGCUGGGUCUGAAUGGGUGCACACCUCAGCAUCUGAACCCCUUGGCAUGGUUUCAUUUAUCUUCUAGGUACCAGAGUGAAAUACCAAGAGUGCUCUUCACAUUGCUGUAUGCAGUCCUGGAAGGAGAGCCACAAUGGCACAUCCAGAGAUGGGGUGCAACAGUGAGAUUGAAAGACAAUAAAAUAGAUGUCUAUGGAUGAAA